GACGAACGCUGGCGGCGUGCUUAACACAUGCAAGUCGAGCGAUGAAGCACCUUCGGGUGUGAAUUAGCGUCGAACGGGUGAGGAACACGUGAAGAAUCUGCAUUCAACUCUGGGAUAACGCCGGGAAACCGAGGCUACUGCCGGAACCGCGCCUUCAUCGCAUGAUCGGGGCGGGAAAGUGUUUCGGUUGAAGAUGACUUCGCGGCCUAUCAGCUUGUUGGUGAGGUAAUGGCUCACCAAGGCGACGACGGGUAGCCGGCCUGAGAGGGCGACCGGCCACACUGGGACUGAGACACGGCCCAGACUACUACGGGAGGCAGCAGUGGAGAGUAUUGUGCAAUGGAGGAAACUCUGACCCAGCGACGCCGCGUGAGGGAUGAAGGCAUGCGGGUUGUAAACCUCUUUCAGUAGGGAAGAAGCGUAAGUGACGGUACCUACAGAAGAAGCACCGGCUAACUAUGUGCCAGCCGCCGCGGUAA
rnacentral:rRNA from 1 species